AUGGACAAGAUCGUGGCCUUCUCCAUCCUUAGCUCGUCGCCGGCAGAGAUCGCUGGAGCGGCGGACGGAAGCAGGCGACCACUCAGAAGAAGCAGCAAGAGGAGAAGGUCGAGCGGAGUUUGCUGCCGGGGAGGAAUAGGGAGGCCAGGGCGGCCCGGUUCGCGCCCGAGUUCGACGGCCUCAACUGCUUCCAAUCUAUAA
rnacentral:rRNA from 1 species